rnacentral:rRNA from 1 species
ACUCAAAGGAAUAGACGGGGACCCGCACAAGCAGCGGAGCAUGUGGUUUAAUUCGAAGCAACGCGAAGAACCUUACCAAGGUUUGACAUCCCUCUGCCGUAUACAGAGAUGUAUAUUUCCCUUCGGGGACAGAGGAGACAGGUGGUGCAUGGUUGUCGUCAGCUCGUGUCGUGAGAUGUUGGGUUAAGUCCCGCAACGAGCGCAACCCUUAUCCUUAGUUGCCAGCAGGUAAAGCUGGGCCCUCUAAGGAGACUGCCGGUGAUAAACCGGAGGAAGGUGGGGAUGACGUCAAAUCAUCAUGCCCCUUAUAUCUUGGGCUACACACGUGCUACAAUGGUCGGUACAAAGGGGAGCGAAGGAGCGAUCCGGAGCAAAUCCCAAUAAACCGAUCCCAGUUCGGAUUGUAGGCUGCAACUCGCCUACAUGAAGUCGGAGUUGCUAGUAAUCGCGAAUCAGAACGUCGCGGUGAAUGCGUUCCCGGGUCUUGCACACACCGCCCGU